rnacentral:rRNA from 1 species
UUAAGCAUAUCAAUAAGUGGAGGAAAAGAAACUAACAAGGAUUCCCCUAGUAACUGCGAGUGAAGUGGGAAAAGCUCAAAUUUAAAAUCUGGCAGUUUAUUUAUUUGGCUGUCCGAGUUGUAAUCUAGAGAAGCAUUAUCCGUGUCGGACCGUGUAUAAGUCUCCUGGAAUGGAGUGUCACAGAGGGUGAGAAUCCCGUCUUUGACAUGGACCCCCCGAUGCUAUUGUGAUAUGCUCUCAAAGAGUCGAGUUGUUUGGGAAUGCAGCUCUAAAUGGGUGGUAAAUUCCAUCUAAAGCUAAAUAUUGGCGAGAGACCGAUAGUGAACAAGUACCGUGAGGGAAAGAUGAAAAGAACUUUGAAAAGAGAGUUAAACAGUAUGUGAAAUUGUUGAAAGGGAAACGCUUGAAGUCAGUGACAUUGAUUAGAAAUCAACUUCAUUCAUUUUGGUGAUGGUGCAUUUUCUUAGUUGAUGGGUCAGCAUUGAUUUUGACCGGCAGAGAAAAACAUUCGGGGGAAUGUGGCAUCUUUUCUUAGAUGUGUUAUAACCCCCAUGAUUGAAUGUGUCGGUUGGAAUCGAGGAAAAUCCUGGGGCCCUUUGUUGGGGGCUUACUUGGGGAUGCUGGCAAUAAUGGCUUUAAUCGACCCGUCUUGAAACACGG